rnacentral:rRNA from 1 species
GAGUUUGAUCAUGGCUCAGGAUGAACGCUGGCGGCGUGCCUAACACAUGCAAGUCGAACGAAGCAUUUAAGUGAAUUCCUUCGGGAUGAAGCUUUUAUGACUUAGUGGCGGACGGGUGAGUAACGCGUGAGCAACCUGCCUUUCAGAGGGGGAUAACAGUUGGAAACGACUGCUAAUACCGCAUAACGUAUAUUUAAGGCAUCUUAGAUAUACCAAAGCUGAGGCGCUGAAAGAUGGGCUCGCGUCCGAUUAGAUAGUUGGUGGGGUAACGGCCUACCAAGUCGACGAUCGGUAGCCGGACUGAGAGGUUGAUCGGCCACAUUGGGACUGAGACACGGCCCAGACUCCUACGGGAGGCAGCAGUGGGGGAUAUUGCACAAUGGGGGAAACCCUGAUGCAGCAACGCCGCGUGAACGAUGAAGGCCUUAGGGUUGUAAAGUUCUGAUCUGUGGGAAGAAGAAAGUGACGGUACCACAGGAGAAAGCCCCGGCUAAAUACGUGCCAGCAGCCGCGGUAAUACGUAUGGGGCAAGCGUUAUCCGGAAUUAUUGGGCGUAAAGAGUGCGUAGGUGGUUACCUAAGCGCAAGGUUUAAUCUUGAGGCUCAACCUCAUUCUGCCUUGCGAACUGGGCUACUUGAGUGCUGGAGGGGAAAGCGGAAUUCCCAGUGUAGCGGUGAAAUGCGUAGAUAUUGGGGAAGAACACCGGUGGCGAAGGCGGCUUUCUGGACAGUAACUGACACUGAGGCACGAAAGCGUGGGGAGCAAACAGGAUUAGAUACCCUG